CUGAAUGCGUUUCGCUGUUCCACUAAUAGCACAUCGCCCCUACAAGUUACGUUUUGUUGCAGCACAACAAAUUUAGCGGUAUCGGGGCGGAGUAUGGAAAAGUUAAAACAGUGUUGCCGAAAGGGACACAUGCAUAGUAUCACAUAAAAUAAUACACACCUACAGCUUCUAAGUGGUGGAUUCAAACUUACGACAUGUGUAGAAUUAGCAAUGAUUUUGAGUUAUGCAUGUUUCCUUGUGUACGUAAUUUUGAGUGAUGGAAGUGCAUUGUUUGUACGCUUUGAAAUGAAUACCGGGCGCUCAAGAAGCAGCAUAAAGUAACUUGCAACAGAAAACACUCACUGAUCUCCAUUACCAUUCAGACUGGGAAUAAAAGCCAUUAGUAGGAUUGUACGUGAGGUUUGCAUGACGAUGUGGUUGUUAUUUUGUGGCACUAUAUGGGCCAUUCCAGAGGAACAUGACUGGAUCACUAUGGCAUGUCAGUUUGAAAUUACUGCAAAUUUUCCAAACUGGAUAGGAGCCAUUGAUGCUGACACAGUGAAGGCAAUUUCAUCCAUAAAGGAGGAGGAUUUACUACUACAAGUGCUGAAUGACUAUAGACAUAGACUCUGAACUACGAGAACUCAGAAAUCAGUUACUUUGUUUCUGAAUCUGGAAAAAUUCCAUGGCAGAGUAACUUCGCCUAACAUAGACUGAUUCAAACAUUACGUGAAAAACACAAUAAGUACACAGAGAACAUGUUUGUAUAUUACUGAACAUUAAACAAAAUAAAUAUGA